GCUAAACAUUAGCUCAGUUGGUUGGAGUGUGGUGCUGAUAACGCCAAGAUCACGGGUUCAAUCCUAACCUGCAUAUUCCUGCA